rnacentral:rRNA from 1 species
GAUAUCGCCUUAAUGCGCAAAACAGUAGGACCUGAUAUCGGCGUGAAAGCAUCUGGCGGCGUCAGAACGAAAGAAGAUGUAGACACAAUGGUUGAGGCUGGAGCAAGCCGAAUUGCGCCAGCGCAGGCGUUUCUAUCGUAAAAGGAGAAAAUGCAUCAGACGGAGACAACUAUUAAGAGCUGACGGAAGGCAGACUGCUUUCCGUUUUCUGAGGAAACAGUGAUUGUAAGCGAAUACAAAUAAAGGAGAAACACAUAUGAAGUAUUUGAUUGGGAUUAUCGGUUUAAUCGUGUUUUUAGGCCUCGCGUGGAUCGCGAGCAGCGGCAAAAAAAGAAUUAAGAUCCGCCCAAUUGUUGUUAUGCUCAUUUUGCAAUUUAUUCUUGGCUACAUUCUCCUCAAUACCGGGAUAGGGAAUUUCCUCGUAGGAGGAUUUGCAAAAGGUUUCGGUUACCUGCUUGAAUACGCGGCAGAGGGAAUUAACUUUGUGUUUGGCGGCUUGGUGAAUGCGGACCAAACGACAUUCUUUAUGAAUGUUCUCUUGCCGAUCGUGUUUAUUUCUGCUCUGAUCGGGAUUCUGCAAAAGUGGAAAGUCCUCCCGUUUAUCAUUAGAUAUAUCGGCCUUGCCCUCAGCAAGGUAAACGGUAUGGGAAGAUUGGAAUCGUAUAACGCAGUGGCUUCUGCGAUUUUAGGGCAGUCAGAAGUAUUUAUCUCCUUGAAGAAAGAACUCGGUCUUUUAAAUCAGCAGCGCUUGUACACGCUUUGUGCAUCUGCGAUGUCAACUGUAUCAAUGUCGAUUGUCGGCGCGUAUAUGACAAUGCUGAAACCGGAAUAUGUUGUAACAGCGCUGGUCUUGAACUUAUUUGGCGGUUUCAUAAUUGCUUCUAUUAUUAAUCCGUACGAGGUUGCAAAAGAAGAGGAUAUGCUUCGAGUUGAGGAAGAAGAAAAACAAUCCUUCUUCGAAGUGCUCGGAGAAUACAUCCUUGACGGUUUCAAAGUAGCGGUUGUCGUCGCUGCGAUGCUGAUUGGAUUUGUCGCGAUUAUUGCCUUGAUCAAUGGCAUUUUUAAUGCAGUAUUCGGUAUUUCGUUCCAAGGCAUUCUUGGAUAUGUGUUUGCUCCAUUCGCUUUUCUUGUCGGUAUCCCAUGGAAUGAAGCUGUUAAUGCUGGAAGCAUUAUGGCAACAAAAAUGGUAUCGAAUGAAUUUGUCGCCAUGACGUCGCUUACGCAAAACGGUUUCCAUUUCAGCGGCCGUACAACAGCGAUCGUAUCGGUAUUCCUUGUGUCAUUUGCGAACUUCUCCUCAAUCGGAAUCAUUGCCGGUGCCGUAAAAGGACUGAAUGAAAAGCAAGGAAAUGUCGUCGCUCGUUUCGGCUUGAAAUUAUUAUACGGUGCUACGCUUGUCAGCUUUUUAUCAGCAGCAAUUGUGGGCUUGAUUUACUGAACUUAAUCGAAAAGGAUCGGUGACCAAACAUGAGAAUGGUAGAUAUCAUCAUCAAAAAACAAAACGGAAAAGAACUCACCACUGAAGAAAUUCAAUUUUUCGUGAACGGCUACA